AGUAAAGCCUUUGCAUGUCAUAGUUCUUUAGGUACACACAAGACAAACCACACUGCAGAGAAACCCCAAUUUAAAUGUUUGCUUUUCUGAGAGUUGAUUUGGUCAUGAGAUCUGUUCCUAGCCACUGAAAGGCUGAGGGAGAAACCCUCUGAGUAUAUUUAAUAUGGUAAAGC